rnacentral:lncRNA from 1 species
CACUAUCGCGCCACUAUCGCGCCACUAUCACACCACUAUCGUGCCGCUAUCGUGCCACUAUCACGCCGCUAUCGUGCCACUAUCACGCCACUAUCACACCACUAUCACGCCACUAUCGCGCCACUAUCACGCCACUAUCACACCACAAUCGUGCCACUAUCGUGCCACUAUCACACCACUAUUGUGCCACUAUCACGGCACUAUCACACCACUAUCGUGCCACUAUCACACCACUAUCGUGCCACUAUCACGCCACUAUCACACCACUAUCGUGCCGCUAUCGCGCCACUAUCACGCCACUAUCACGCCACUAUCGCGCCACUAUCGCACCACUAUCGUGCUGCUAUCGCGCCACUAUCGCGCCACUAUCGCGCCACUAUCACGCCACUAUCGCGCCACUAUCACGCCACUAUCGCGCCACUAUCGCGCCACUAUCGCACCACUAUCGUGCUGCUAUCGCGCCACUAUCGCGCCACUAUCGCACCACUAUCACGCCACUAUCGUGCCGCUAUCACGCCACUAUCGCGCCACUAUCAUGCCUCUUACCGCGCCGCGCUCGCGAUACGACGGCGCCGCGCCCCGCCCCCGCAGACGAGCUGGAGAUGCUGGAGCGCCUGUGGCUGUCGGGGAUCUGCCACAACGACAAGAUCGAGGUGAUGAGCAGCAAGCUGGACAUCGACAACAUGGCCGGCGUCUUCUACAUGCUGCUGGUGGCCAUGGGGCUCAGCCUCCUCGUCUUCGCCGCCGAGCACCUCGCCCACUGGCGCCUGCGCCGACGGCCCCCCCGCCCCCGCCCCCGCCCGCCCCGCAGCGCCCGCCUGCUGCUGGCCUUCAGCAGGGUAACGGGGCCGGGGGUGGGGGGUCGUGGGGGGGGUUGUGGGGGGGUUGUGGGGUUGU